rnacentral:rRNA from 1 species
ACGCUGGCGGCAGGCCUAACACAUGCAAGUCGAGCGGUAGAGAGAAGCUUGCUUCUCUUGAGAGCGGCGGACGGGUGAGUAAUGCCUAGGAAUCUGCCUGGUAGUGGGGGAUAACGUUCGGAAACGGACGCUAAUACCGCAUACGUCCUACGGGAGAAAGCAGGGGACCUUCGGGCCUUGCGCUAUCAGAUGAGCCUAGGUCGGAUUAGCUAGUUGGUGGGGUAAUGGCUCACCAAGGCGACGAUCCGUAACUGGUCUGAGAGGAUGAUCAGUCACACUGGAACUGAGACACGGUCCAGACUCCUACGGGAGGCAGCAGUGGGGAAUAUUGGACAAUGGGCGAAAGCCUGAUCCAGCCAUGCCGCGUGUGUGAAGAAGGUCUUCGGAUUGUAAAGCACUUUAAGUUGGGAGGAAGGGUUGUAGAUUAAUACUCUGCAAUUUUGACGUUACCGACAGAAUAAGCACCGGCUAACUCUGUGCCAGCAGCGGCGGUAAUACAGAGGGUGCAAGCGUUAAUCGGAAUUACUGGGCGUAAAGCGCGCGUAGGUGGUUAGUUAAGUUGGAUGUGAAAUCCCCGGGCUCAACCUGGGAACUGCAUUCAAAACUGACUGACUAGAGUAUGGUAGAGGGUGGUGGAAUUUCCUGUGUAGCGGUGAAAUGCGUAGAUAUAGGAAGGAACACCAGUGGCGAAGGCGACCACCUGGACUGAUACUGACACUGAGGUGCGAAAGCGUGGGGAGCAAAC